rnacentral:tRNA from 1 species
GGAGGGGUAGCCAAGUCAGGUCAAAGGCGCUACCUUGAGGGGGUAGUCCCGUAGUGGGUUCGUGGGUUCAAAUCCCACCCCCUCCA